GUGUGCUUUUAAAGGAGAGAUGGUCAGCAUCUUCCCUGAUAGGGAUAGGAAUAGCUUUCAAGCUUUCUUGUUAUCACACAUAUGGUUAAAGCUAUUCAUGUUGAUGGAUCUCUAACCCAAUUUUUUA